ensembl:lncRNA
UGGGGUUGAAAAGAGCCAAGCACAGCUGAGCGACUGGGCGCUCACACAUGAGUGAAGACAGAGCUCAGCAUCCUUCCUGUAUUUGGGCAGUAUCCUCUAGGUGCUGUGUGUCCCGCCCACAAUGGGCCUCAGUUUGACAGGUUCUUGACUUGGGUAUUUUUUUUUUUUCCUCCAACUUUCUGCUUUAUUUCUCCUCUCCCCUUGGAGCCUCAGUGUCUUAAGUUUUGAUAUGGGGAUAAUAUCAGCCCUGCCUCACAUAGCGAUCCUGAGAAUUAACCAUCACCCAUCCAGUUAUCUUGCCCAUGGCUUUGCUGGCCGGGAGCUCUGAUGAUUGCAAACACCGGCGGCCAGCUCCUCAGAGAGGCAAAACCCAGCCCCUUGUGGGUCGAAUCAGUGGCUGAGCCUGUUGCACGGGUGGAAGGUGUUUAAUCCCGAGAGCUGCCUUGAUUCUCAGCCCAACUCAGGUGGGCAUCAUCCCAUCCACUGAGGGCCUGCCUGGAACAAGAAGGAAGAGGAAGGGGGAAUUCGUUCUCCCUGCUGGAGCUGAGACAUCCAUCUCCUCCUGCCCUCAGACAAUCCACUUUCCUGGUUCUAUGGGGACCUUCACCAUCAUCACUCCCUCCUUGGCUGCCUCCCUGGUUCUCAGCACUUCAGGCUCAAUCUGACCUAAACCAUCAGCUCCGCUGGUUUUCCAGUUUAUAGACUGCACAUCAUGGGACUCCCUGGUCCCCAAAACCACACGAGCCAAUUCCUACAAUAAAUCUUCUCUUAUGUAUAUAUCUUUACAGAUCUUACUGUUUCUGUCUCUCUGGACAACCACGAUUGAUGACCUGGGUCUUUACUUACAUGGCGGCUGUCAGCUGAGCUGGGUAGUCACAGCCACUUUUGAAUACUCAUUCACUCACACCCUGACUCUUUGACCUUCUUUCCUUAGUCCGCUAAGCUUUCCUUACAGCUUCAAUCUCACUACUGAUGCAAUGAUCUUCCACAUCAGGUAGCUUCUGAAAGUAAAAAGCAGCACUAAAAAUAAGGACCAGGUGUUCAUUGACCCUCAAUAGGCAUUAUGGGAGGCUUUCUGGCAAACCUGGGUGUAUGGUUGCCAGAGUGUUGAUCCCAGCUUGGGCAUCACACACCCCAGUCUCCAGGCAACACAC